rnacentral:lncRNA from 1 species
CUCAUAACUGUGAUGGCGACCGAUGCAUUGAUAUCCAUGGAUGGCAUUUAUGUUCACUGAUUCUACGUUGCAGACCUCUUUGAUGCAUGUUGCAAUUUUUCGGCUCUUUGAUGCAUGUUGCAAUAUUUCGGCUCUUUGAUGGUUAAAAAAACACACCACAUGGACUAUUAAACUAAUACAGCUCUUUCAACAUUGAUCUCGUUUUCUUCUUGGAAAUUUACGGAUUUACUUACAUAAAUGAAGCAGAAUGAAAAAUGAAGAGUUUUAUUUAAAUGGUAUUUAAACAGGACAUUUAAAUAGAAGUGUAACUGAUAAAAUGCACUUGCAGUGUUU